rnacentral:tRNA from 1 species
GGAGGGUAUAGCUCAGUGGUAGAGUGUGUGCUUAGCAUGCAUGAGGUCCUGGGUUCAAUCCCCAGUGCCUCCA